UUAAAUAUUACUCACUCAGGAAGCAGCCCCUGCCAACUCACCCCCAAACCGUCCGGUUCAUUUUCAGAGAAAAAGAGAGGGAAGGAGAAGGAGGCUGUGUUCCCAGCUGGCACUGGCAGGGCAAUCGGUCUGCACGGCCCACUUUGGAGAAAGAACCGAGCAAGGGAAGUCAAGUUAAGCAGUUCUUGGGCACCAGCACCCCCACUGCCAGGUUACCAUAGAUGGCGCGCGCGCGCACACACACACACACACACACUCCCAGAGACGCAUACUCACCCCAGACACACUCACACACACACCCCAGGCACACAUUCAGAGACACACACUAACUCACCCACACACACUCACACACACACACACACACUCACCCCAGACACACACUCACUGAGGCCCACAGACACACAGAAACACUCAGAGCUACACAAAGACUCAGAAACACACUCUGCACUUAAUCUCACACAGGCACACACUCAGACAUACCACCUUGGCUCGCUUAGACACACCCACACAGGCAGGCUCAGAGACACACAAACGCACGGUCACCAGACCUCUCACACACAGACGCACACUCACUCACACACACUUGCAGUCUCCCAUCAGGGCAAGCCACCUCGCCAGGGGCCAGUUAGGAUUCCAGGAGCCUUUGCCUUGAACUUGAACAGGACAAUCACGAAGUCCCCACACAUCCCGGCGUCGGGCCGAGCCAUCCCUCGGUGCCACCGACCCACACUACUGUGGUUUUUCUGUUUUAAUCGAUCGGCUGACACAACACUCGGCUCCCCACUGGUUGCCGGGAGAAGCUGCGGCAGCUCCGGGACGGCGGACAGGGAGGCGCCGCCCGGCGUGCCGGCCCGGCGGGCUCCCCGGGGGAGGCGCGGCGGGCAGGGCGGGGGACUCCCGAGGGGGCCAGUAGGGCCGCGCUGCAGAUCCGGGUCCCGACUGGCGGGAAAAGCGAAAGUAACUUCGCGGAGCGGGGUCGCGCUGCCCCCGUGUGGGAGGGGCAGGUCAGCGCCCCUGCCUCGGCCUCUGGGACGGUCUCGGGAACGGGGGCCGGGAGCGCCCGGGCACCUGGAAGCCGGUGGGGGCCGCCGCGCGCCCGGGGUCCCUUCCCCGGGUCUGCAGCAGCCGAGGCUCAACCCCAGGCGCGACGGCGGUGGCGGCUGCCGGGACCCCCGCCCUGUCUCGCCCCCGCAGGUGGGACCGCGGGCCGCC
rnacentral:lncRNA from 1 species